AUAAAUAAUAAUGACACAUGUACAUUCAAUAAUACAUUUUAUUAUGGUAAUAUUCAUGAGAAAACAAACAUGUAGAUUCUAUACAAUUUCAAAUGUUUUAAGUGUUUAUGGAAAAAAUUGCCUUAAAAUUGAUUUUUACAAGUCCAUUUAAAGCGACUAUUCGGGGAAGAAAUAGGUCAAAGUUGAAAAAACGGCAAAUCCAUAAAGAAAAUACCCUCUUAUGAAAAAUUCUUAUUGAAGUUUUGGCGAUAUGUAACCCCUAGAAUUAAAAAAUAAUAAUAUUCUGGGGAAUCCUCUCACUGUCGAAUGACGAGAUAAAAUGCAAAUUUCCCGCUUUGGGCGCAUGCGCAAGAAUCUAGGUUAGUAGAAUGUAAGGCUUCCGAAGCCAAGAGAUGUCGGCCUAGAAUUGUAACGAGUUCGGCAACAAAGCGACUUAAACAGAAAUGGUCACAGGACAACCCGAUUAUACGACUUGGGAGACAACACACUAGGUGGAAGACAUUCAAUGAAGAGAAUAGUUUCUCUACAAACGAGCGUGCAGCACGAUUUCUUCUGGAUAAGUGUGCACUUCAGUGACACAAGAAGUUCAUGCAGGUGAAGACAUGCCCACACCAGCUGGAACUUCUAUGGGACCGCCAUCACAUGUGUGCACCCCUACACCAGUAACAUCUACGCCUUCACAUGCCCAUAAAGAACCUAUAUAGCUAUAGAUAGACCUCCGAUGUCUCAGAUAUAGAAGCUCAGUCAUCACAUUCGUCUGAUUUAUCUGGUGUGGAAGCAUUACAAUCAGACUCCGAGAGUAACAUUAAUGCCAGCUUGCUUUCCCGUUACCAACAGAAGGCUAAAGAGGCUGACACCUCAUUUAUUGAGUAAGUAUGUUGUGUUAUUUUUUAUGGUGUGUUCUUGUUGCUAUGAUAAUACAUUUACUUGUAUAUAGUAAAGAGGUAUUGGUACGCCCAAUAUCCCCGCAGGACAUUAUGUUCUGUCACCUGUCAUCCUGCACACAGUCUGGUUUGGUCUGUCUCCAGCACUACUUGUCAUUGGAACUAUAAACUUGCGUAACGUUAAUUUUACCCGGAUGAG